GGUAGCUCUAACAGGCGGAACUCUCGACGGCGAGAGACGCAGGGAGUCUUCAGGAGCCAGGCUGAAAGGCCAACAACUGCCACGAAAUUGUUUCAGAAACUGCGGCGGGAAUUUCGACUUAAACGCUGGCGACUGCGUGGAGAUCCAUUCGCCCGGCUUCCCACUGAAGUACAGGCGCAACGCACGCUGUUCGUGGCAGUUUAUCGCUAACCCUCCGGCCACGAUGAUCACCAUGUGUUGCAGCGUCUUUCACUUGCAAAAGAGCAGCAACUGCAAGAAGGACAACGUGAUAUUAAAAGACGGUGGAAAGAACACGGACAAGUAUUUUUUUAUCUAUUUAAUUUUAUUUAUUUGUUUUUUUAUUUAUCCGUUUAAUUUUUUGAGUUCAAGUACAGUGCUUUUUGGUGUGUCUUUUUGCCUUUUGUCAUAUGUCCGAAAGGGCGAGUGAAUUAGUUUGCUCGCUUUGAAAGUGAUGCCUUGGCUUGGUGAUGUCAUACCUCUGGUUGUAAUAGAAACUAUUUUCAGUGUGUGUG